GGGGGGUUCAUUUCCCGGACAGGGAGCCA
rnacentral:misc_RNA from 1 species